CUAAUUCCAGCUCAUCAGCUAAUAUCACUCUCCUCUCCAACUACUUCCCUUGGAGGAAUCUGCAAAGAUUAGAUUUGAACUGCUGCUGUGAAAAAUACCCCAAAGGAGGAAGGUGAAACUGAUGUUUCCUUGCUCAGCAGCGGAACUGAGUGAAGAUCCUGUGGGACGACCUUGCAGUGAUAGAACACCUUCAGCAUGUCUGGGAGAUGCAGAAGACUCUUGCUUCUUGAAGUGAGUUGUCAAGAGGCUGGAAAAGAAACUCUGCCUUCUCAGUCAUGACUCAGUUGUAGGUUCUCCUGCAGUUUGAGAAGGAGCUGAAUUUGGGCAUUCAAGGUCUGUUGAUUCUGAGUCUUAGAUUUGGAGGAAGUUUUAUAGAUCAUUUAGUACAACUGUUUCAUUCUUCUCAUGAGGAACCCUGAGCUCUGGAAAGAGACUCCUGACACUACAAAUAGUGGAGCUAAGGGACAGAGCUUGUUUCCCUGAAGAUGCUGUCAAGAUGAAUCGCCCCGUCCUGAAGGCUGAUCUAUCUCUGGAGAUGCUUCCUGUUAUGCAAGAUUCGCAUACCCAACUGCCCCCCUGACAUCUCCAGGUGAAUAUUCUCUAGACAUGUCAAAUUAAACAUGUCCAAAGUGGAUGUCUUGAUUUUCCCCUCUCCUGCUCUGCUCAGUUUCUUCAGCUGUCCCUCUCUCAGGUCACAGAAUCAUCAUCCAUUCAAAUGCUGGAGCCAGACAUCAAAGCAUCACCCUUGACUUCCCCUUUCUCUCACUUCCUGCUUAUAAUCCAAUAAGACCAUUUAAUUCAAUCUGAAAAAUAUAAAGGGAGGCCAUUCCUCUCAUUUUGUUGAAUGCUGUCCUCUUGACCCAUGCCAUUCCUGUCUCUUGCUUGUAUUGUUGCAGUAGUCUCCCUGUUGGUCCUCCUUCCAUUAUUGCUCUAUUUCUACUAUUAUUCUCCUCCACCCAGUAGUCAGAGUUUGCUUAAAAAAUACAAUGUCUAUCAUGUUUCUCUUCUUACUUUAAAUCCUUCAGUUUUUGUUGUUGUUGUUGUUU